GUCGCUCACGGUGAAAGAAUUUCGUCAAUACGACUUGUACUUUUCAUAUGGGAACGAUUUGUUUCGGCCUGACUUUUCUGUUCAUUUUAAGCAGCAAAAGUGAGGCGCAUGUCUGUGUGCGUGUGUAUGGAGCCAUUGGGUGCGGUCACUAUAGCAACCAGGCUCACACCUGCCUGCUUAACGAGCUCUGCCUGCCACUGUGCCAAGAUUCAUCUUAAGCACUUCUCUUUCAACUGCUGCUGUGUCCACAGUGUUACAGCCAUCAUUUUACCCUCAAAUUGUCGCCAUUAUUGUUCUCUUUCCAACACCGUAUCUUUCAAAGCUCAGGCAUUUAAACUUUUUAAACUGUGUGGAUCAAAGUGGAGGGAUCACAUUUUAGUCAUUCAGUGAUUCAAAGAAUAUGACCUUUUAAUAUUCAUUCAGAUGUUUUCUGACUCUAAAUGUUCUUUUCUCAUUUCUUAGGGUUUUCUAAUUUACAUUUAAAACAUUUUCAGUUUUUUUCCAACUUCUUCUUCUGUGUAACCUUCAGCUUUUAGCAGUUCAGCACCUUUGUUUUCAGGUUAAAUUCGGGUUUUUUUUUUUGUUUUUUUUUAUUUUAUUUUUUUAUUUUAAUUUGUGGUUUGACGCUGUUUCUUAACGUAAAAUGUCCUGUUGUAAUUGGACAUUUUGAGAUAAGAAACAGCGCCAAGCCCCAACAACACUUCCCUCAUGGUGCUUUAUAUUGUAAGGUGAAGACCCUACAAUAAUGCACAAAAACUAACCCCCUAGAGCAAGCACAUUGGCGACAGUGGGAAGGAAAAACUCACUUUUAAAAGAGAGAAACCUCCGGCAGAACCAGGCUCUGAGAUGGGGGUGGCCAUCUGCCUCGGCCAGUUAGUGAUGAGGGAAGGAAGUUGGGGUUUUAAAAUGUAAUUUAGGUUGCUGAAUUAAAAGAAUAUUUGACGCCAGUUUAAAAGUUUUGUAACAGAAUCACGUGCACGUUUCAGUUCAAUUUUAACGUGCACAUGAGAAAACCCUCAAGAUGACAUUUUGGCUCCUCAGCUUGGCAUGUUUUUUGAAUAUGCUGACGACCGCUUCGUCAACCACUGGGUUGCUUGACCUCAUUAACAGUAUUGGAGAAGGCCACUUUUCACGGAGAUCAUUGGAUACUUUCAGGCCGAGUUGUUCAAUGUUUUCCAUGGACAUUUUGUAGCUUUUGGACAAAAUUUUGUUCCAGAUCUUGUGGGAAAGCCUCUGU
ensembl:lncRNA